AUGGCUACCUACCUUCGGUUGGUAGUUCUCUUCCUAUUGACGAUCCACGUUUCGUCAUUCCUCUUCCCUAGCGCCGGAGGAGGAGGAGGUGGAGGCGGCUGCGGUGGCGGCUGCGGUGGUGGCUGCGGUGGUGGCGGAGGAUGUGCUCCACCACCUGCUCCGUGUGGAGGUGGAUGUGGAGGUGGAGGUGGUGGCUGCGGAGGUGGCGGAGGAUGUGCUCCACCACCUGCUCCGUGUGGAGGUGGAUGUGGAGGUGGAGGAGGUGGAUGCGGAGGUGGAGGUGGUGGCUGCGGAGGCGGCGGAGGAUGCGGUGGAGGAGGCGGAGGAUGCGGAGGAGGUGGCGGAGGAUGCGGUGGAGGAGGUGGAGGAUGCGGAGGAGGAGGUGGAGGAUGCGGAGGAGGAGGCGGCGGAGGAUGUGGUGGAGGAUCCAGCGGAGGAUGCGGUGGAGGAUCUAGCGGAGGAUGCGGAGGAGGAGGUGGCGGAGGAUGCGGAGGAGGAGGCGGUGGAGGCUGUGGAGGAGGAUCCAGCGGAGGAGGUGGAUAUGCUGUUGCACCAUCAGGUGGAGGAGGAUGCGGAGGAGGAGGAUCAAGCGGAGGAGGUGGAUAUGCUGUUGCUCCAUCAGGAGGAGGAGGAUGCGGAGGUGGAGGAUCCAGCGGUGGAGGAGGAUAUGCCUCGGCUCCAUCCGGAGGCGGUGGAUACGCAACUAGCGGAGGAGGAGGCAGCGGUGGAUACGCUACCGGUGGAAGCUCUGGAGGAGGAUAUUCAUCUGGAGGAAGCUCCGGCGGAGGAUACUCAACUGGCGGAGGAGGAGGAUAUGCCGGAGGAGGCGGAGGAGGCGGCGGAAGCAGCGGAGGAUAUGCCGGAAGCAGUGGUGGAGGAGGAUAUUCAGCCCCAGCUGCUGCUCCACCACCGCCACCUCCACCACCACCACCACCAGCUCCAGCUCCAGUGUCGAGCGGAGGAGGAUACUCUGAACAAGCAAGUGGUGGUUCUUCUUACCCGUCACGCUUCAGAUUCUCGCGCUUCUUCAACAAGGCAUAAUUUAAGUACCAUCACAAUUCCCAAUGAUGCCCCCCGUUAUGAUAUUGUUGUGAGAAAUGAGAGUGACUGUAGCAGUCAAUUCUCAACAAGAAGUGUCUAGUAUUGUCUCUUUUCCCACCAUCUUUCCUGUCAGAGCCGAGAUUCCAUCAUCUCUUCUCAAAUUUUAUGUUUUGUUGCCAACGUCUUGUCUGUCGGCCAAAACAAAACCCAUGUGUCCUGUAUAUAAAUGUUUCCGAAUGUGUACGUCGUUUUCUAACGCAAUGCAUGAACACAAACAUAUCAACGAAGAUUACAUUAUUCAGUUAAAGGUUCACAGGCUCAAUGUGUUAAAAUGACAAGCAGACUGACUCUCAACUAAAUGGAUUUGGAAGAAUACGUGAGCAGCGGAGGAGGAGGAGGAUCGUCUUAUUCCGGCGGAGGAGAAGCAUCAUCGUCAUCCGGAGGUGGAUAUUCAGGAGGUGGUGAAUCCUCAUCGAGCGGUGGAUCUUCUUAUUCUAGCGGAGGAGACUCGUCUUCGUCAUCAGGCGGAGGAUACUCAUCGGGAGGUGACAGCUCAUCAUCAUCAUCUUCAUCUGGAGGAUAUUCGGGAGGGAGUGAUUCAUCGUCGAGCUCAUCAUCCUCGUCUGGUGGAUAUUCAUCCGGAGGAGGCGAUGCUGGAGCAUCAUCUGGAGGAGAGUCCUCUUCUGCAGGAGGAUAUUCCGGAUCUUCAUCAAGCGGAGGAGAAGCAUCAUCCGGAGGAUACUCUGGUGGAUCGUCAGAGCCAGCACCAGCUCCAGAAGCAGCACCUGCUUCAUCUGGGGGAUACUCAGGAGGAUCCGAAGCAGCACCAGAAGCUGCUCCAGCAGCACCAUCAGGUGGAUAUUCAGGAUCUGAGGCUGCACCAGAAGCUGCUCCAGCAGCCCCAUCAGGUGGAUAUUCAGGAUCCGAAGCAGCACCAGAAGCUGCUCCAGCAGCACCAUCAGGUGGAUAUUCAGGUUCUGAAGCUGCACCGGAAGCCGCUCCAGCGGCCCCAUCCGGUGGAUACUCUGGAUCUGAAGCAGCACCAGAAGCAGCUCCAGCAGCUCCAUCUGGGGGAUAUUCCGGAUCAGAGGCAGCUCCAGAAGCCGCACCAGCAGCCCCAUCUGGGGGAUACUCAGGAUCUGAAUCCUCAGCACCUGCCGCUCCAGAGCCAGCUCCGUCUUCUGGAGGCUAUUCUGGAGGAGGAGGUGACGCUGGAUCAGCUGCUGGAGGCAGCAACUACUCUGGAGGUGGUGAAACCGCUCCAGCUGCCCCACCACCAGCUCCGGAACCAGCUCAAACCUACUCAGGAGCAGGUGGAGAGUCGGCCGCCGCCGCACCAGCACCAUCUGGAGGAGGAUACAGUGGAAGUGGAGGAGCCGGUGGAGCACCAAAUGGAGCCAAUUAUGACGAAGCACAAGAAGAUGUAGAAGAAUAUGAAGGAGGAGCUGCUGGAUUCAGAAACAGAAGAUUCUCAAAGGGAGGAACUGCUGAUGAUACUCCAAUCUGUAACUCAGUUAGACUCAGGAAACUUAUUAGACAGAGUCUCACUGAGGAUCCAGAAUCCUCAAUGCAACGUUUGGCUCAACGUGUCAAAUCUCGUCUUGUGAGUGGAGAAUUCUAUGUUGCCUGUGGAGAGCAAGGUCUCUUACCACUUGCUGGAGAGAAUCGUGAGCACUGUUUCAUCAAGAGCGGAAAAUUCGCUUGCUAUGUCCUAAGAAAAGCCUAA